UACGGAGGGUGCGAGCGUUGUCCGGAUUUAUUGGGUUUAAAGGGUGCGUAGGUGGCUGAUUAAGUCAGUGGUGAAAUACAGCCGCUCAACGGUUGAGGUGCCAUUGAUACUGAUUAGCUUGAAAUAAUUGGAGGCUGCCGGAAUGGAUGGUGUAGCGGUGAAAUGCAUAGAUAUCAUCCAGAACACCGAUUGCGAAGGCAGGUGGCUACGAUUUAUUUGACACUGAGGCACGAAAGCAUGGGGAGCAAACAGG
rnacentral:rRNA from 1 species